rnacentral:rRNA from 1 species
GAUGAACGCUAGCGGCAGGCCUAACACAUGCAAGUCGAGGGAGAAGCCCUUCGGGGCAGAAACCGGCGCACGGGUGCGUAACGCGUAUGCAACCUACCUUUCACAGGGGGAUAGCCCGAAGAAAUUUGGAUUAAUACCCCAUAACAUUGUUGGAUGGCAUCAUCUGAUAAUUAAAACUGCGGUGGUGAAAGAUGGGCAUGCGUCCUAUUAGCUAGUUGGAGUGGUAACGGCACCCCAAGGCUACGAUAGGUAGGGGUCCUGAGAGGGAGAUCCCCCACACUGGUACUGAGACAGGGACCAGACUCCUACGGGAGGCAGCAGUGAGGAAUAUUGGUCAAUGGUCGGAAGACUGAACCAGCCAUGCCGCGUGCAGGAAGAAUGCCUUAUGGGUUGUAAACUGUUUUUAUAUGGGAAGAAUAAGGUGUAACGUGUACCAUUGAUGAACGGUACCAUAUGAAUAAAGC